AUGAAGUCGUCCGCCGCCGCCGAGGACGGAGAAGGUCCGGUGUCUAGAACCGUCGCUGCUUAUCCUGCCAAGCUUCCCGCGCAGGACGAGUAUCCCUCCAGCCCUCUGCGCCGCUAUCUGCCUCUGAUGAUUCCGCACGCGUGUAGGCGACAGUGGAACAAAUUCAGACAUUCAAGGAUAUCUGUCCGUCAGAAUAUUCAGUGGGCAGCCACGAUGAAGAAGAUUAAGAUGCCACGUAAAAUGAGAUCGAUGCAAAAGCGCCUACAAAAGAUGGACCGUGAUAGUUAUGGUGUUCAGCCAGAAACUCGCUGCGAGGAGCGGCAAGUUCCUGACAUCCGGGAAACAACAGGAUAUGUGGAAGAGGCAGAAAUCAUCCGGAGGAUUGAUGACGAAAGGAAAAUCUUGGAUUGCAUAUCUCGGAGCAAUAGUUAUUCCCCCUGCUUUCCAUUACAGUGA
rnacentral:rRNA from 1 species